AUUGAACGCUGGCGGCAGGCCUAACACAUGCAAGUCGAACGGUAGCACAGAGAGCUUGCUCUCGGGUGACGAGUGGCGGACGGGUGAGUAAUGUCUGGGAAACUGCCCGAUGGAGGGGGAUAACUACUGGAAACGGUAGCUAAUACCGCAUAACGUCGCAAAACCAAAGUGGGGGACCUUCGGGCCUCACACCAUCGGAUGUGCCCAGAUGGGAUUAGCUAGUAGGUGGGGUAAUGGCUCACCUAGGCGACGAUCCCUAGCUGGUCUGAGAGGAGGACCAGCCACACUGGAACUGAGACACGGUCCAGACUCCUACGGGAGGCAGCAGUGGGGAAUAUUGCACAAUGGGCGCAAGCCUGAUGCAGCCAUGCCGCGUGUAUGAAGAAGGCCUUCGGGUUGUAAAGUACUUUCAGCGGGGAGGAAGGCGGUGGAGUUAAUAACUUCACCGAUUGACGUUACCCGCAGAAGAAGCACCGGCUAACUCCGUGCCAGCAGCCGCCGUAA
rnacentral:rRNA from 1 species